CUAAAUCUAAUUCUCCUUGAUUCCAUUAGAUGCCUUGAUAUGUUUGCUAAGUGAUUUAGAUUUAGGAGGCGAGGAUUGGACCAAGGGAAUGUAGGAAAAGCAUGUAGAAAUGGAGAACUCAUG